AAGGUUGGAAAAAUGAAAAACAAGAAGAGAUCUCCUACACCUCCACCUUCAACCUUAUCUCUCCGGCAUAUCCCCAACUUUUUUGUGCAGUUUUCCGUUUUUUCCACAACAAAUGUCAUGU
ensembl:ncRNA T10B9.12 ncRNA